UGCAGUCGAGUGCGCGGUUGUAGCAAUACAACUGGCGCACGGCGCACGGGUGCGUAACACGUGGGCAAUCUGCCCUCCGAUGGGGAAUAACUCCGGGAAACCGAAGCUAAUUCCGCAUAACAUUCCCUGGACUCCGGUUCGGGGAAUCAAAGCAGUGAUGCGUCGGAGGAGGAGCCCGCGCCCGAUUAGCUAGUUGGUAGGGUAACGGCCUACCAAGGCAAUGAUCGGUAGCUGGUCUGAGAGGAUGGCCAGCCACACUGGAACUGAGACACGGUCCAGACUCCUACGGGAGGCAGCAGUGGGGAAUCUUGCGCAAUGGGCGAAAGCCUGACGCAGCGACGCCGCGUGGGGGAUGAAGCUUCUCGGAGUGUAAACCCCUUUCGACUGGGACGAAUGCCUCGCAAGAGGAGUGACGGUACCAGUAGAAGAAGCCCCGGCUAACUACGUGCCAGCAGCCGCGGUAAGACGUAGGGGGCCAGCGUUGUUCGGAAUUACUGGGUGUAAAGGGUUCGUAGGCGGUGUGGCAAGUCGGGAGUGAAAUCUAUGGGCUUAACUCAUAGGCUGCUUCCGAAACUGCUGUGCUUGAGUGUGGGAGAGGCGCGUGGAAUUGCAGGUGUAGCGGUGAAAUGCGUAGAUAUCUGCAGGAACACCCGUGGCGAAAGCGGCGCGCUGGACCACAACUGACGCUGAGGAACGAAAGCUAGGGGAGCAAACAGGAUUAGAUACCCUGGUAGUCCUAGCCCUAAACGAUCAGGACUUGGGGUGCCUCCCGUUCGGGAGUCGUCCCGGAGCUAACGCGUUAAGUCCUGCACCUGGGGAGUACGGUCGCAAGACUGAAACUCAAGGAAUUGACGGGGGCCCGCACAAGCGG
rnacentral:rRNA from 1 species